UUGACUUCUUUUCUCUCGUUCGUCCACCGUCGGCAUCAUUCAACAGUGUGCGAGUUGUGAGAGAGAGAGAGACAGAGAUGGGGAGGGGAGGGCGAGCACGGCAGAACGCGAUGAGGGCGGGCCUGGUGGUGGUGGGAGCCGUAGCGUUCGGCUACCUCUCCUUCCAAGUGGGUUUCAAGCCCUACCUCGAGCGUGCACAGGAAGCCUUGGACCGACUCCACCAAGGACACCCCAGCGAUGGAGACAAUCCGACGUCGCCUCCCGGUGCUUCUUCUGUCGAUGUCCCUCGAAAUGGCGCUCUGUAACAAGGGAAAACGCUCCCAAAUCCCAUCAUUUGUUUGUUCCUCAUUUGCGAUAUCUUGAUGAACUGUGAUUUCACUUUGACCAGUCUUUUGUCGACGUAACCUUCUAUUUAUCUGGCAGUAAAUCGAAACAUUUGCUUUUUUCUGCUGUAAUUUCUCAUUUUGUUCAUAAAAAAAAAGUAUCUACUUUAUGAAUGAAUAGCUGAAAAUUGCUAAAUUUAUUAUUUUGCAACUUGGGGAUUAUUUCGAGUCAACGCAAGAAUUGGUUAGGGAUUACUUGGGGAUUUACUUGAUGUCAUCACAUGUGAAGGAUGUGAGAUACCGAUACCAUCUCAUCUGGGAUGACAAGAGAGUUGGAAUUAGCAUGAUUUUUUGUGGGACACAAAAUUCCUGAUUUCAAAAAUAAAUGACUGUUUGAGGAAUAAAUAUAGCUGGUAACUUUAUUUUGUUUCUUAUCAAUCCUGCCACUGUAUUAUUGUUGGCUGAAGUCUUGGUAAGUAGAAGAAUGGAAUGGACCAUCAACCUUUUAAGCUAUAGUCUUGACGGGUCAAGGGAAAUUAUAUUGUCAUAAGAUUGCUGAUGCAUAUUGGCAAUGCAAAGGUUUGGAUAUUAUUGUAAUAUUUUCAUUUAUUGUGUUACGAGGGAGAAGGGGGGCCAAGAAAGUACACGAAUUAGCCAGAGUGAAUAGGGGAAGUGUAGUAAUAAAUGCAGAUCAUGAAGCUGAUUAAUGAUCAUUGUCACUUCUAACAUGUCAGAAGAGUAGGGUUAAGGUUUAAACAGAAAAAUAUUUCAAACAUCUUGAUAUACUGGUUGGCACACGACUACUAUCUAUAUUUAUGGCAUCUAGGUGAAUUAUUUAAUUUCUAAUGAGUAAUAGAAGCUGGCAAGUGAUAUUACUAGAAUGGAAGCAAACCUAAACCUGUGAAAUGUAAUUGCAGGAAAUUUUAUACACUUUGUGGAUGUCAUCAUAUUCAUAAAUAAUUUACCUUGGAUCUUUUCAACUUGGGCAGGUCAUAGCAAUACUUGGCAAAUGUCUUGCAGCAUGUAAAUAUUCCAGCAAGAAUCCACAAUAAAAACACCAGGUUGCUUUCAAUGAUAACCUGUAGCAUUGGUGCUUUCUGCCUAGACUCUACCACCAUCUGAUGUGUUCUUGCAUUUCAUCUCAUCAUGACCAAUCCUGUUCUUUUAUUAUUUUUCUCAACCACAAACAGGCAAUAUAGCAUGUUACUUUCUAUUGCACUUAUGAGCUACAAUGCAAAGUUGAAAAAUGCUAAUAUGAAUAGUUUGGCAAUUUGAUAGAUGUGAUUGCCCUAUAUUUAUUUUGGAAGACAUAUUUAGUGGACUACAGCUGUUUCAGUGGAGUGCAAUUUGAUAGAAAACACAUUCUUUAUUUUGAAAAGGUAUCUCUAUGAUGUGAUUUUGGUACAGUCCUUUUUAUCUUAAAAGUACUUAUUCUCUAAUAUCUAUUUGAGGAGUUGCUUUGACAUUGGAAUAUGUAGUUUUGGUUGUGCCAGCCCAGAAUACAAUAGUAAAUUGGUGAUCUCAGUUUUGUUUCCUGAUUGUGGCCACUACAUUAUCUUUAUAGCUUUAAGUCGUUCUACUGAUAUGUAUUACAUGCUUCAUGUAAAUGCGAAUUACCAUGCUUAAGCUUUGAGAUUUUUGCUAGUUGGUUUGAGACUAUUCUACUAUGUGAAGACUUCAAACCAUAAUUCUUUCCAGUAAUCAUGUUGGAAAUAUUUGGUGAUCUCCUUACUUUCAUGAAGAUGAAGGAUCGUGAAUUUGCUUCAAUGAUUCUGUGAUUUAUCAUUUAUUUGCUUGUGUUCUCAUGAAUUUUUUUGGUGCUUCCUACAGGUUCACUUGACUUUUUUUAAAGAUGCCAUUGAUGAUAAGAGUCUUGAAAAAAAUGAUCCUGUGAAUGAUAUUUACCCGAGAUGUGGAUUUGUUUUGUUGUAAUGCAUGCAUCUUCACCUUCUUUUUCCUCUCCUCCUCCUUUCAAUCACAUUUAGCAGCAGCGGCAACAGUUCAGUCCCAGUGGUAGCAGUAAAGGAGGUUCAGCAGUAGUAGUAGGUGGCAUAGGAAUCCUGUAAAUAAGCAUUGACCUUAAAACAGUGUCUUAGCUAUCUGCUGAGGAUAUUUAGAAAUAAAUACUUCUCUUUUCUUUUCUUUUUCUUCUAUUCUGCCUCCAACCAGAGAAGCAGAUUUAUGAAUGACAGUGGGCCAGCAGGAUACCACCUUAAGCCUUUAUGAAAUGGGGAAUUAUAGAAUACUUUCAGGAUCUGUGCUGAUGGAAGCAUCCUUGGCAUUGCUUUUAAAGCAUCGAAUAAUGUCUCCUUGUCAAACUCUAGCGAAUCUCAAAUAUUCUGCCAUAGCAUCAGGCAAGGGACAGGAGUUGGUUUGCUGCUACCAAGAAGGCUGCUGCUGCUUUUUGACAUCAGAGAAGCACAAGAAGAAGGUAUUUUGGGAGCAUUCUUUGAUAUGGUCUUGCUACAUGACCCGGGAGCAUGAUCAGACUUCUGGCUCGCAUCCAUUCCUGCUGCAUAACUCUUGCACGGCUUUAUCUUCCUUCUGCAUGGAGUCUCCUUCUUUGGCAGAUCCUCGAUGCUGCUAACCACAGACAGUGAUGUGUAGGACUGUGAUUUGCCUUGAUAGUACUUGGACAGCCCUCUCCUGCAAUUUCAUCAAAACUUGUUGAGAUGAAGCAGAAGACUCUUUCAGAUACUCACUUGAUGGGUAGCUGCUCCAUGAGUGAAGAUAGUUCAUAUAGAGGUCCAUUUGAAUUCAUCUUUGGUGGCAGCCAGGAUGACUCGGCUGAUGGUGAGGAAGAAGCUGCUCCUUCUGUGGAGUCAUCAUUGUCGUCGCUGUCAUCAGAGUUACUCGGAAAGGAGUCAGAAUUGAAUAGCUCUUCAUCAUAGCUUUGCUUGAGACCUUCACCCAUGUACAAACUUAGAGAUGGCUUUUUGCUGGUUAUGGAAGAACUUCUGAAAUGGUUUGAAGGAUGUAGACGCUUUCUUUCUGGUUUAUUUCUCUCUCUUAACAAUGUCAUCUGAGUCCAAUCACUGGUAUACCACAAUAUAUAGCUCAAGGCUUUAAUGCUCCCAGGGAAAUUCUGUGUGUUUGUGGUUAUUCUGAAUUGUGACCACAGUACCUUGUUACUAUCAAGUAUGUGGAUGGAAUCCAUGGCCUUUUUCUA